UACAGAGGGGGCAAGCGUUGUUCGGAAUUACUGGGCGUAAAGGGCGCGUAGGCGGCCCGCUAAGUCGAACGUGAAAUCCCCGAGCUCAACUCGGGAACUGCGUCCGAUACUGGCGGGCUUGAAUCCGGGAGAGGGAUGCGGAAUUCCAGGUGUAGCGGUGAAAUGCGUAGAUAUCGUAAGGAAGACCGGUGGCGAAGGCGGGUCUCUGGACAGUUCCUGACGCUGAGGCACGAAGGCCAGGGGAGCAAACGGG
rnacentral:rRNA from 1 species